CCUGGCUCAGGAUGAACGCUAGCUACAGGCUUAACACAUGCAAGUCGAGGGGCAGCAUGGUCUUAGCUUGCUAAGGCCGAUGGCGACCGGCGCACGGGUGAGUAACGCGUAUCCAACCUGCCUUACACUCUUGGACAGCCUUCUGAAAGGGAGAUUAAUACAAGAUGUUAUCAUGAGUAAGCAUUUUCGCAUGAUUAAAGGUUUACCGGUGUAAGAUGGGGAUGCGUUCCAUUAGAUAGUAGGCGGGGUAACGGCCCACCUAGUCUUCGAUGGAUAGGGGUUCUGAGAGGAAGGUCCCCCACAUUGGAACUGAGACACGGUCCAAACUCCUACGGGAGGCAGCAGUGAGGAAUAUUGGUCAAUGGACGAGAGUCUGAACCAGCCAAGUAGCGUGAAGGAUGAAGGUUCUAUGGAUUGUAAACUUCUUUUAUACGGGAAUAAACGAAUCCACGUGUGGAUUUUUGCAUGUACCGUAUGAAUAAGGAUCGGCUAACUCCGUGCCAGCAGCCGCGGUAAUACGGAGGAUCCGAGCGUUAUCCGGAUUUAUUGGGUUUAAGGGGAGCGUAGAUGGGUUGUUAAGUCAGUUGUGAAAGUUUGCGGCUCAACCGUAAAAUUGCAAUUGAUACUGGCAGUCUUGAGUACAGUUGAGGUAGGCGGAAUUCGUGGUGUAGCGGUGAAAUGCUUAGAUAUCACGAAGAACUCCGAUUGCGAAGGCAGCUUACUAACCUGUAACUGACAUUGAUGCUCGAAAGUGUGGGUAUCAAACAGGAUUAGAUACCCUGGUAGUCCACACGGUAAACGAUGAAUACUCGCUGUAGGCGAUAUACAGUCUGCGGCCAAGCGAAAGCAUUAAGUAUUCCACCUGGGGAGUACGCCGGCAACGGUGAAACUCAAAGGAAUUGACGGGGGCCCGCACAAGCGGAGGAACAUGUGGUUUAAUUCGAUGAUACGCGAGGAACCUUACCCGGGCUUAAAUUGCAACCGAAUAUGGCGGAAACGCUAUAGCUAGCAAUAGCGGUUGUGAAGGUGCUGCAUGGUUGUCGUCAGCUCGUGCCGUGAGGUGUCGGCUUAAGUGCCAUAACGAGCGCAACCCUUGCCGAUAGUUACUAACAGGUUAUGCUGAGGACUCUGUCGGGACUGCCAUCGUAAGAUGUGAGGAAGGUGGGGAUGACGUCAAAUCAGCACGGCCCUUACGUCCGGGGCUACACACGUGUUACAAUGGGGGGUACAGAGGGCUGCUACCACGCAAGUGGAUGCCAAUCCCAAAAACCUCUCUCAGUUCGGAUUGAAGUCUGCAACCCGACUUCAUGAAGCUGGAUUCGCUAGUAAUCGCGCAUCAGCCACGGCGCGGUGAAUACGUUCCCGGGCCUUGUACACACCGCCC
rnacentral:rRNA from 1 species